GACGAACCGUCCAAACGUUAUUCGGAAUCACUGGGCUUACAGAGUUCGUAGGCGGUCUGGAAAGUUGGGUGUGAAAUCCCUCGGCUCAACCGAGGAACUGCGCUCAAAACUGCCAGACUCGAGGGAGAUAGAGGAAAGCGGAACUGAUGGUGGAGCGGUGAAAUGCGUUGAUAUCAUCAGGAACACCGGUGGCGAAGGCGCUUUCUGGGUCUUACCUGACGCUGAGGAACGAAAGCUAGGGGAGCGAACGGG
rnacentral:rRNA from 1 species